GACGAACGCUGGCGGCGUGCUUAACACAUGCAAGUCGGACGGAAAGGCCCUGCUUUUGUGGGGUGCUCGAGUGGCGAACGGGUGAGUAACACGUGAGUAACCUGCCCUUGACUUUGGGAUAACUUCAGGAAACUGGGGCUAAUACCGGAUAGGAGCUCCUGCUGCAUGGUGGGGGUUGGAAAGUUUCGGCGGUUGGGGAUGGACUCGCGGCUUAUCAGCUUGUUGGUGGGGUAGUGGCUUACCAAGGCUUUGACGGGUAGCCGGCCUGAGAGGGUGACCGGCCUCAUUGGGACUGAGAUACGGCCCAGACUCCUACGGGAGGCAGCAGUGGGGAAUAUUGCACAAUGGGCGGAAGCCUGAUGCAGCAACGCCGCGUGCGGGAUGACGGCCUUCGGGUUGUAAACCGCUUUCGCCUGUGACGAAGCGUGAGUGACGGUAAUGGGUAAAGAAGCACCGGCUAACUACGUG
rnacentral:rRNA from 1 species